GUGGGGAAUAUUGGACAAUGGGCGAAAGCCUGAUCCAGCCAUGCCGCGUGUGUGAAGAAGGUCUUCGGAUUGUAAAGCACUUUAAGUUGGGAGGAAGGGCAGUAAGUUAAUACCUUGCUGUUUUGACGUUACCGACAGAAUAAGCACCGGCUAACUUCGUGCCAGCAGCCGCGGUAAUACGAAGGGUGCAAGCGUUAAUCGGAAUUACUGGGCGUAAAGCGCGCGUAGGUGGUUUUGUAAGUUGGAGGUGAAAUCCCCGGGCUCAACCUGGGAACUGCUUUCAAAACUGCUGAGCUAGAGUACGGUAGAGGGUGGUGGAAUUUCCUGUGUAGCGGUGAAAUGCGUAGAUAUAGGAAGGAACACCAGUGGCGAAGGCGACCACCUGGACUGAUACUGACACUGAGGUGCGAAAGCGUGGGGAGCAAACAGGAUUAGAAACCCCUGUAGUCC
rnacentral:rRNA from 1 species